rnacentral:rRNA from 1 species
CGGGGUGAGUAAUGUCUGGGAAACUGCCUGAUGGAGGGGGAUAACUACUGGAAACGGUAGCUAAUACCGCAUAACGUCGCAAGACCAAAGAGGGGGACCUUCGGGCCUCUUGCCAUCAGAUGUGCCCAGAUGGGAUUAGCUAGUAGGUGGGGUAACGGCUCACCUAGGCGACGAUCCCUAGCUGGUCUGAGAGGAUGACCAGCCACACUGGAACUGAGACACGGUCCAG